UGGGAGCCUCCCCGGCCCCGCAGUCCCAGCAGCAAACUGCGCUUGGUCGGACGGGAUGCCCGCGCAGAGGGAAGUUGAGAGAAGGUAUGCCUUUGGAGACUGGAAACCUGGAGGUCAUUUCUGAGCAAGAAUUCCGGGAAUCCUAAAGGUCUUCAAUCUCUGCUCGCAGCACCUGGGUAGACAUGGUUCCAGGGAGGAGCCUGAGUGGGUGAUUCAGUUCCAGAGCCGCAGUAGUAGCACCACCCAAACUUGGAAAAAGAAUCAUGUUGAUCGCCAGAGAAGGAAUCUCAUCGGAAGUAGACUUCAUUCAGAGGGGCGCCAGUAGCAAAGAGGCUCCUGGAUUGCAUCCUGACUGCCCUGGAGGGAGGAUGUGACCAUUGGUGUAGGAGGCGACGAGACAACCUGGUCAGCAGAGAUGUAUCACAGCGGUACACUCUCCCAGCACUUUCCCACCCACAACCCGCGUCAGACCUGGCUUCAUCUUUAAUCCUCCAGCCUUGGGAAUGACAGACCUACCUCAGAGGUCUUGCCUGCCCUCGCGCCCUCCCCAACCCCC
rnacentral:lncRNA from 1 species